AUUGAACGCUGGCGGCAUGCUUUACACAUGCAAGUCGAACGGCAGCGGGGGCUUCGGCCUGCCGGCGAGUGGCGAACGGGUGAGUAAUGCAUCGGAACGUGCCCAAGUCGUGGGGGAUAACGUAUCGAAAGGUACGCUAAUACCGCAUACGUCCUGAGGGAGAAAGCGGGGGAUCUUCGGACCUCGCGCAAUUGGAGCGGCCGAUGUCGGAUUAGCUAGUAGGUGAGGUAAAGGCUCACCUAGGCGACGAUCCGUAGCGGGUCUGAGAGGAUGAUCCGCCACACUGGGACUGAGACACGGCCCAGACUCCUACGGGAGGCAGCAGUGGGGAAUUCUGGACAAUGGGCGCAAGCCUGAUCCAGCCAUGCCGCGUGAGUGAAGAAGGCCUUCGGGUUGUAAAGCUCUUUCGGCCGGGAAGAAAUCGUGUUCUCUAACAUAGGACAUGGAUGACGGUACCGGACUAAGAAGCACCGGCUAACUACGUGCCAGCCGCCGCCGUAACAC
rnacentral:rRNA from 1 species